rnacentral:tRNA from 1 species
GGGAGUAUCGCAUAGCGGCAAUUGCGGGGGACUGUAAAUCCUCUCCUUCGGGUUCGGUGGUUCGAGUCCAUCUACUCCCA